GAUGAACGCUAGCUACAGGCUUAACACAUGCAAGUCGAGGGGAAACGGCAUUGAGUGCUUGCACUCUUUGGACGUCGACCGGCGCACGGGUGAGUAACGCGUAUCCAACCUUCCCAUUACUGUGGGAUAACCUGCCGAAAGGCAGACUAAUACCGCAUAGUCUUCGAUGACGGCAUCAGAUUUGAAGUAAAGAUUUAUCGGUAAUGGAUGGGGAUGCGUCUGAUUAGCUUGUUGGCGGGGUAACGGCCCACCAAGGCAACGAUCAGUAGGGGUUCUGAGAGGAAGGUCCCCCACAUUGGAACUGAGACACGGUCCAAACUCCUACGGGAGGCAGCAGUGAGGAAUAUUGGUCAAUGGACGGAAGUCUGAACCAGCCAAGUAGCGUGCAGGAUGACGGCCCUAUGGGUUGUAAACUGCUUUUGUAUGGGGAUAAAGUUAGGGACGUGUCCCUAUUUGCAGGUACCAUACGAAUAAGGACCG
rnacentral:rRNA from 1 species